UGCUAUUGUCGUUGAAAGAAUAGGCGAUGUGAUCUUCUCCGCUAAAGAAGAAGAAUUAUCUUUCGACUAUAGGAUUUUCCUACUAGAAGUAAAUGUAGCGAAAGAACUUCUGGAUUCUCGCUUUGCUAAUCGCUUCACCUUAUGCUUUUUAUCUUGCUAAAUCGCUUGUUCGCUGGAUGCUCUAACACUCCUUUUUCCUGGAGGAAAAUAUCAUACUAAACAGUAUAGCUUUUUUUUCCUUAUCAGUUGAAUCGUGGGACAUAUUUAUUAAGGAACUAGUGGGUUAGAGUGAGUGAAAAUGGAACUCCCAUGAGAAAAGUAAACUUAAUCUUCCGAGUCAAAGUAAGGAGAGUUUAAGAGUAACUAUCUUACCUGCAUACAUGCCUCUUUCAUAAAGAGAUUCCUUACAUGGGUUUUCUCACUCAGGCAGCUUAUCCAUUUUCGGAUUAACUUGUUCUCAUAGAAUCGAAACCCCUGAUCAUAGCUUUGGCUAAUGAAGGCUUAUCCCCCAUUGGUGUUAGCUCAUAAAUCGUUUUACUCAUUCCGGAUAGCUUAUCUAGCCUAUUUCCCGGAUUUAAGACGGACUUAAAAACUUAACUUUGUCAUCCUCCCGACGCUGCAUCCGAACGUGAGCUACUUGCUACGCUUGAUACUCUUUCCCAUAGCUAAGCUAUGGCACUAUCGCUUCGUUCUCUUUAUGCUGCUCUGCCUUACUUAUGCUCUUUUUCCUGCUCUGCCUUACUUAUGAUCUCAUAUUUGGGGUUGUACCAAAUCUCAUAGAGAAUAAGCGCUAUCCAAAG
rnacentral:lncRNA from 1 species